ACAAUAGUGUGGCUUUCACUUGU
rnacentral:snRNA from 1 species